rnacentral:misc_RNA from 1 species
AUAAAAAAAAAAACAUCAACUGGUCCAUAACUAAGCCCCAAAUAACACAAGCAUAGCCAUCCGCCAAAAUGGAAUCAGACUGAUACCUACUUUCCUAUCCACUCUGUAACUUUUCUCUGUAUGUGAUCCCCUACAGCUUGUAAACAAGUACCAUUCAUAUCUUAACUUUAGAUAUUUUUCUUCUUGCAUUUACAAAUAGAAGGACUACAAUGAGUAAGACAAUGCACAUGACCAAUGAAACUGUUUUCCAUAAUGUGAUGCCACCUGAAUUGUUGAAUAAGCCCUCCAAUCCUUCCUGCAGUUUUACACCUUAAAAAUACAUCAGACAUAUUUAAGUGAAACUUGCUUGAAGCAAUCAAGUGAAACAACCAGAAAUUCAAAGCAAGCAGAAUUUUCUGAAAGUGAAGAGUGACACCUUGUGGCAUUACCAAAUUAAAGAAACGGGCCAUAGCCAAAGAACUCAAGCCCUUUAUGUUGUAUUACCAAUUUGCUGUCCUGAUAAAAUGGUUAAAAAACAAGAAGAGAAAGUCCAGGAUGUCUAAUGGCUUUCAUACAAAGAAUGUUUGGAGACUGUUUUGUGUUCUCACUCUUUCCUAAACAAGUAGUGAAAAGCUAUAAAUACAUCAACUUGUUCUUCUAAAGUUCCAUGUAUUUGAGAUUCUUUAUAAUCCUUGACCAUAGAAUGUCUUCAUGUAUUUAGGCAACUAUGAGGGCAUUCAUCAUGCAUUCAACAACUGAGAACUCUAAGAACACAUGUUCCAAGUUUUUCACAGAAAAUGAAAACUUAGCAGAUGUGAUCGCUAGUAGAUGAGGCACAAGUGAUGGUAGAAACAGAAAUAACAAAAUCACAUCCUUAGCAUACAAAUACUUACUGUGCUGGCCAACUUUUGCAUUGUAUGCUCGUGCUGCUUUGCAAAGAUGUCUUGAGCAUAUUUAUAAAGCUCCAAGUCAAGAUUGUUAAGUGAUCUUAUCUGCUCAAGAACCACCUCAGGAACAAGGCGACGGUCCUCCUUCGAAAAGUUUGCUGGAGCUAUUCUCUUCAAAGAAGAGGUACGACGACGUGCCUGGGUCUUCCGUAAAUUAGAAAUGCAGUCUUCAUAGGCUGCCAUAAGUUUCUUUACAGUCAUAUUUUCUUUCUUCCCUUCCAGAUUUCCUGUAGAAGCAAUUUCACUUGCCUUUUGGUCUGAGGUGCUAACCUGAUGAUCAUCAUUUUCAUGCUCAGAAUCUGAAAUUGAAGAGCUCUGCUCUGCUUUAUUAUCGGCUGCAGUUUCCACACUAGUGUUUGAUGCCAAUGCCUGGGAAAUCACCUGUGCACCAACCACAUUCGCAAACAUUGUUGCAGAUUCUCUGUGGUCCUCAGUGAGGCCAACAUAUAACAUCUCAUCCAACCUCUUCUUAGCAACUUGCAGUACAUGUUCACCAAGAAUCUUAUACUUCUGGACACAAUGGCGCACUUCAUGUGCUUCCACAUAAUAAGAGUUGUUGGUCAAUCCUGCAACCUGGAAUGUUGCUCCAUUGUGAACCAUGUCAUGUGCUAUGGGGUCCAUGAUAUAUUCAUGUAAUGGAAUAACAAUUUCCUCCAUGUUGUAUGGAUCUUUGCUCCUCACAUGAUUGGAACCCCUAAAUUUCCUAGCAUCCCUCCUGUUAAAUAGGUCUUCCCUCAUCCAUGGAACCAAAUACUUCCAGGGCCAUAUAUCCAGUGUACUAACCCCACCAUUCCUAGGGCGCAACCGACCAGCCAUUUGUGUGGCAGAAGUUAAGUUAGGAUGCACCAAGAAUCUAGCCGCCACUUCAACAGAAAAUUCGUAAGUACUGAACACACGGUCAACUGGAUUCCUGAGUAUGGUCACCACUGAAGUUUUCUUCUUUGGAAAUUUGGACAUCAUGCUAUAGUCAUCAUGAGUAACCAACAAUCUGCACUUCUGUUUGCUUGGAUCAAAUCGCAGCUUAUCAUAUGAGCGGGGACAUUCCUCAGAGUUAGAGUACAACUUUCUCAGGAAACAGUGAAAAUAUGUACGCCCUCCAGUUCUUGGGACAUGGAGGAAAAACAACAAAUCUCGUAGCGUGUGUUUGCCCUCUGUAGCUUCUUCUUUAAGAGAAGCUAAGGCCCACUUUUUGACAAUUUUUUCGCAAUGGCUAAAAUCAUUUUUGAUGGGAGAUGCACUUGCCAAUGCAAGAAACAUCAAAAGCACAGUGAACCUCAUUGCAGGAUCCAUCCACAUAAUUCCUACAACUGUAUCGGGUUUAGGGAUCUCGUGCCCAUAAAUUCGUUCAAGUCAGUGUUGGAACUCUACCAGACAGACCUCGCAAUCAGUUAGGGCCCACACCAAACAGAAUCACAAUUUUCCAGAUAUGGUUACUCCGGAUUUUCUCGCCGGCCAAAUACAAAAAAAGGCAGUAGCUUUUACAUUUUCGCAGGAAAGUAGAAAAUUUUCUCUUGCUGAAUCUGUGUUUGUAACACUCUCUUUGGAUAAAUUAUUAGAGAGGGAAGAAAUAAGGGAUCAAAAAUAAAAAAUAUAAAGAAUAAACUACGUUGAUUUUUAAAUUUUUUAUUUUUUUAUCUAAAUUGAAAGAAAAUAAUUAGAAAAAAUAAGAUAAAUUUUUAUCCCAUUUCUUAUUUUUUC